rnacentral:rRNA from 1 species
UAGCAUAUCAAUAAGCGGAGGAAAAGAAACCAACAGGGAUUGCCUCAGUAACGGCGAGUGAAGCGGCAACAGCUCAAAUUUGAAAUCUGGCGCCUUCGGCGUCCGAGUUGUAAUUUGUAGAGGAUGCUAUCGGGUUGCCACCGGUCUAAGUUCCUUGGAACAGGACGUCACAGAGGGUGAGAAUCCCGUAUGUGACCGGCCAGGCGCCUUCUGUAUAGCUCCUUCGACGAGUCGGGUUGUUUGGGAAUGCAGCCCUAAAUGGGAGGUAAAUUUCUUCUAAAGCUAAAUACCGGCCAGAGACCGAUAGCGCACAAGUAGAGUGAUCGAAAGAUGAAAAGCACUUUGGAAAGAGAGUUAAAAAGCACGUGAAAUUGUUGAAAGGGAAGCGCUUGCAAUCAGUCUCGACGGCGGCUGUUCGGCCUCUCUUCUGAGUGGUUUAUUCAGCCGCCGCCGGGCCAGCAUCAGUUUCGGCGGCCGGACAAAGGCGCGGGGAAUGUAGCUCCCUCGGGAGUGUUAUAGCCCCGCGCGCAAUACGGCCCGCCGGGACUGAGGUCCGCGCUCCGGCUAGGAUGCUGGCGAAAUGGUUGUAAGCGGCCCGUCUUGAAACACGGACCAAGGAGUCUAACAUCUACGCGAGUGUUUGGGUGUCAAACCCGUGCGCGCAAUGAAAGUGAACGGAGGUGGGAACCGCAAGGUGCACCAUCGACCGAUCCUGAUGUCUUCGGAUGGAUUUGAGUAAGAGCGUAGCUGUUGGGACCCGAAAGAUGGUGAACUAUGCCUGAAUAGGGUGAAGCCAGAGGAAACUCUGGUGGAGGCUCGCAGCGGUUCUGACGUGCAAAUCGAUCGUCAAAUUUGGGUAUAGGGGCGAAAGACUAAUCGAACCAUCUAGUAGCUGGUUCCUGCCGA